GUUUCUCAGCAUGAUAUUUCAACCCCACCCGUGUAUCUUACCUGUUGCUUCCGUGCCGCGCAUGCUGCAAAACGUGUGCCCUCCGGUCUAAAGUACAUACCCACAGUACUCCCGGCGACCCUAGGGAGCUGGCACGGGAGGUAAACCACAAACUCUUGCCCUCGAAUGCCUUCUGUCUGAACUGUAGUACCUGAAAAGUUAAAACUUUCAACAACGGAUCUCUUGGUUCUCGUAUCGAUGAAGAACGCAGCGAAAUGCGAUAAGUAGUGUGAAUUGCAGAAUUCCGUGAAUCAUCGAAUCUUUGAACGCACAUUGCGCCUCCUGGUAAUCCGCGAGGCAUGCCUGUUCGAGCGUCACUAAAGUCAACUCGACCACUUUGGUGGUUGGUUAUGGAGGAAGAGUCCGUCAUGCUUCUGUCUCCCCUCCCAAAAUCAACGGCGGAAAGUCACUGGCACGCGGCGUAGUAUUAUUAUUCGCCGAUUACCCAUUGUCGUUCCUGCCACCAAACCCCCACAAUUCUGUCGAUUGACCUCGGAUCAGGUAGGGAUACCCGCUGAACUUAA
rnacentral:rRNA from 1 species